rnacentral:tRNA from 1 species
GGGCUACUGGUUCAGCGGUAGAACGCUUUCCUGAUAAGAAAGAGGUGCCAGGUUCGACUCCUGGGUAGCCCACCA